rnacentral:rRNA from 1 species
GGCACUACGGUGCUGAAGCAACAAAUGCCCUGCUUCCAGGAAAAGCCUCUAAGCAUCAGGUAACAUCAAAUCGUACCCCAAACCGACACAGGUGGUCAGGUAGAGAAUACCAAGGCGCUUGAGAGAACUCGGGUGAAGGAACUAGGCAAAAUGGUGCCGUAACUUCGGGAGAAGGCACGCUGAUAUGUAGGUGAAGCGACUUGCUCGUGGAGCUGAAAUCAGUCGAAGAUACCAGCUGGCUGCAACUGUUUAUUAAAAACACAGCACUGUGCAAACACGAAAGUGGACGUAUACGGUGUGACGCCUGCCCGGUGCCGGAAGGUUAAUUGAUGGGGUCAGCGCAAGCGAAGCUCUUGAUCGAAGCCCCGGUAAACGGCGGCCGUAACUAUAACGGUCCUAAGGUAGCGAAAUUCCUUGUCGGGUAAGUUCCGACCUGCACGAAUGGCGUAAUGAUGGCCAGGCUGUCUCCACCCGAGACUCAGUGAAAUUGAACUCGCUGUGAAGAUGCAGUGUACCCGCGGCAAGACGGAAAGACCCCGUGAACCUUUACUAUAGCUUGACACUGAACAUUGAGCCUUGAUGUGUAGGAUAGGUGGGAGGCUUUGAAGUGUGGACGCCAGUCUGCAUGGAGCCGGCCUUGAAAUACCACCCUUUAAUGUUUGAUGUUCUAACGUGGACCCGUGAUCCGGGUUGCGGACAGUGUCUGGUGGGUAGUUUGACUGGGGCGGUCUCCUCCUAAAGAGUAACGGAGGAGCACGAAGGUUGGCUAAUCCUGGUCGGACAUCAGGAGGUUAGUGCAAUGGCAUAAGCCAGCUUGACUGCGAGCGUGACGGCGCGAGCAGGUGCGAAAGCAGGUCAUAGUGAUCCGGUGGUUCUGAAUGGAAGGGCCAUCGCUCAACGGAUAAAAGGUACUCCGGGGAUAACAGGCUGAUACCGCCCAAGAGUUCAUAUCGACGGCGGUGUUUGGCACCUCGAUGUCGGCUCAUCACAUCCUGGGGCUGAAGUAGGUCCCAAGGGUAUGGCUGUUCGCCAUUUAAAGUGGUACGCGAGCUGGGUUUAGAACGUCGUGAGACAGUUCGGUCCCUAUCUGCCGUGGGCGCUGGAGAACUGAGGGGGGCUGCUCCUAGUACGAGAGGACCGGAGUGGACGCAUCACUGGUGUUCGGGUUGUCAUGCCAAUGGCACUGCCCGGUAGCUAAAUGCGGAAGAGAUAAGUGCUGAAAGCAUCUAAGCACGAAACUUGCCCCGAGAUGAGUUCUCCCUGACUCCUUGAGAGUCCUGAAGGAACGUUGAAGACGACGACGUUGAUAGGCCGGGUGUGUAAGCGCAGCGAUGCGUUGAGCUAACCGGUACUAAUGAACCGUGAGG